GACGAACGCUGGCGGCGUGCUUAACACAUGCAAGUCGAACGGAAAGGCCUGUCCUUCCUUGUGUUGGACGGGUACUCGAGUGGCGAACGGGUGAGUAACACGUGAGUGAUCUGCCCCCAACUUGGGUAUAAGCCUGGGAAACUGGGUCUAAUUCCCGAUAGGACUGCAGGGUGGUGCCUGUGGUGGAAAACGAUUUUCUAGUGGUUGGGGAUGAGCUCGCGGCCUAUCAGCUUGUUGGUGGGGUAAUGGCCUACCAAGGCGGCGACGGGUAGCCGGCCUGGGAGGGUGGACGGCCGCAUUGGGACUGAGAUACGGCCCAGACUCCUACGGGAGGCAGCAGUGGGGAAUAUUGCACAAUGGGCGGAAGCCUGAUGCAGCGACGCCGCGUGGGGGAUGACGGCCUUCGGGUUGUAAACUCCUUUCGACCGCGAGGAGGCCGCCUGGUUGGAAGGGUGGUGACGGUAGUGGUAGAAGAAGCACUGGCUAACUACGUG
rnacentral:rRNA from 1 species